rnacentral:lncRNA from 1 species
CUAAUUCUUUUUGAACAAUUUUUAGUCUGAACUCUAGAUAAUUCCUUCCAAGAAAGCAAAAAGAACACGUGGCUCUGCUCCAUUGUUCAAGAGUGUAUUGUUCUUAGGACGAGGAAGAGAAAACAGGCCUAAAUGCAAUGCACUAUUAAGUCAUGAUGUAACAGCAAUCCCUCACAUAAAUAUCUUACUGGGAAGAAACGCUGCCAGAAACAGCAGAGAAAUUGGAACUGCGGAGAGAUGUAGGAGCUGAAAAGACAUCAGAAACCAAAUCUACGGCCUCUCUCGAAGUCAUGUUCCUGUCGUGGCAUUCUGUCUUUCGCAUAAAGUGAAACCUUAAACAACAAACCUUGACAAUUUUAUUCGGGAUCAGACACUUUAGGAUUGGACAAGAGCAGCUUGAGAUGAGAAAGUAUGAGUCCAAAUUGGAGAAGAAUUAAAAUCCAAACAGUUGAAUGACUAAGACUCGGAAAAAGUGGAGAGCAGGGAAGUUCAGGAGACCUAGAGGAAAAGAGAACAAUUUUCUCUCUAUGAUACUACAAUCAAUAUGGAUCAUCUGUCUCUCCUUUUGAGAUUGCAACUUUCCAGAAGAGAGAAUCUGACUGUUCCAAUCAAGUCAGCUUUUCACUCCAGGAUAAAACUGCUAUGGCCAGAGGAUAAUGCUCUCUACGUAACAGAAAAUAAGGACACAGAUAUCCAGACUGUAUCUUACAGUUUCUAUCAUAGAAGAAAGACUCAAUCUCUGAGUUAAAAACAACCUUGAGAAGAACUUUGGCCUGACAUGGGUCAAGUGCCCACUCUUGACUACCAAUAACUUUGACCAGUGGAGUAGAAAAAGCAGAACAUGGCACCCUCUUCUCUUGUUCUGUAGAAUAGAGACACAUUCUACUAGAAUAGAUUCCUUAGAAAAUAACACUAUAGAUGUCCAUCAAAAUAUCCAUAGACUCAUAGGGUCUCUUACAUAGAAACCCAAUGUAUACUAGAAGUAAGCAUAGCAAGGCAGAUAAGGUAUUUAAUUUUUUGUGGGGGUUGCUUUUUAGAAAAGAAAUUUUCAAAAAAAAUAGAAGCCUUUGGACUUUCGUAACUGUGAAGAUAGUUGCAGAGACUGUGGUCAUACGCAUCAUCAGGAACUCUCCCUGAGAAAAGAUUAUUUAAGUGUUUAAUUGCACCCAGAGGACUUCUGCCUAACCAUCUCUCUGGAUGAGUCAUUCCUCAGAGUGCUUUGGCUACCCAAAAUCCUCGGCUAGGCUGGCCAACAUGAAGACUGAAUUUGAUACAGCUUUUUCUUCAAUAUGUAGUCAAUGUGAUUUGAGUUAAAUUGCCAACAUUAUUGACACUUGCUAUAGGCCCCCACCAUUGACCCUUCCUUAAUCACAAUUGAAGUAUAGUUCUGAUGGGAGUAACUAAAUCAUGGUGGUGUAAUAAAUAAAUGUACAGUUGGGUUCUAGCUCUAGCUUUUUAAUUGACCAGUUAUGCGGUUGAGGCUAUUUUUUUAAUCUCUCCAAAAUUAAGAGUUCAAUUUAUAGAAUAUUUUGGAUGAGUCUAAAGCCUCUUCUUGUUCAUCAUUGAAGGAAUCUAUGGCCUCUUGAUGUCCCUGUUUGGUUUCUGGACUUUAUAGUCUUGCAGGGAAAAGUUAUGUGUACACAUAUUUAAAAUAUUCUCUAUAUUCCAAAAGCUGUGAGGCUGGAAAUACAGAUAACUAAGAGCAGUUUUCAUUAUAGAUAGCCUCUCCAUUUUUCUUUUCUACCUCUCCUUAACAUCUGGCUUCAUUCAGUGGCAUGAGAGAAACAGCUAGAUUAAAAGGAAAAUAAAACCAAAACCAAAAACACAACCUACCUCUACCGAAUGCAAUCAAUGGACACGAGCUAUUCCUGGAGUUGAACACCUGCUCCAUUUCUUUUCAUCUGUAUUUUCUCCAUCUGUUCUAAUUAUGUCCCUUUCUUGGGAGUAAGAGAACUGCUACUGUCUGGUGCCAUGUAAGGGUGAGAAAGGUUAAUUAACACUGAAGACAGAUCCCAAUUGCCCCUGCAUCACACCCCUGUCCAUAUGCAUUAGACUGUGAAGGGGUGCCCACCUUUCCCAUGACCUGGUGCUGCUCAUGAAUUUGUGUCUGCUCCUCUUAGUCUCUUACAUGGCUCCCUUCUUUCCUGAGCUGUCUCCAGAGCAUUGAAUCCAAAGGCACUCAUCCAUGCUAAAGUGGCAAAAUGCCUUAGUCAUAUGGAGGGGGUAUGUCCUAGAGAGUAGAAAAAAGCAUAUAGAACUGCCUUCUGCAGCACUCUUAGAUCCAACCAGCAGUAAGAGCUGUGACCCAAGUGAGUUAAGAGUUAAGUUCAUUUAUUCACACAGUGGCUUGAAGAGUUAGGCAAUGCUAUGAUCACUUUGCAGAAUGAGAGUAAGAGACUUGAGAUAAAGUAGUUUACUAAUCGUCACACAAGUAGCAAGAUAAACACAUAUAUACAUACUUUUGUGUAUAAACACAUGUUAUAUACAUGUAUGUAUAUAAUGUAUGUAUAUAUAUGUUUGUCUUGCUACUUGUGUAGCAAUAUCUCUCUCUCUCUCACACACACACACACACACACACACACACAAACACAUACACAUAUUUGUUUAAUGCUUAAAAAUGCCUUCACCCUAAAUUUGAAAGCAGGGACUUUACUGUAGUUCACCACUGAAUUCAUAGCACCUCGCAGGUUCAUGAUUAACAAUUAUUCAGUAAAUGACUUCAAUAAAGACAAAUUAUUGUCUGUGUUUAUUGAUAUGAAAUCAUAUUUAUUGAGUACAAACACUGCACUGUAAGGUAAAGUGAGCAUUACUGGAAAAGUAGAAGGCAUUGCUAAAGGAUUUUAAAGUAGAUUUAAGAAGGUAGCACAAAUGAAAAUUUAAUGUUCAAAUAUUCUUUCAUUUAUUUCUCAAAUAUAUAUUCAAUAUCUACUCUAUGUGAGGAAAUGUACUUGUUGCUUGAUCUGAAAUAAUAAACUCAUGUUUUUAAAUCCACAAAUGUAGCCUGCAGACAUAUACAACUAAAGAGGAUAGUAUGCUAUCAACAGACAAAUGAUGAAGAAAAAUAGGUAAGUAGAGCUACAGAAAUAGAGAAUAGAUAGGUACCUUUGAAUCCAUUGGCUCUCUAAGUCAAAAAAGGCAGCCUGGAGAAAGUGGUGUUUAAGGACACAUAGAUGUCACAGAGGCAAUGAAAGUUAGGGGUGCCAAUCAUUUCAGUAAGAAAAAACAGCAUGUGCCCAGAAAUGAAAAAAAUAAUAAUAUAUAUUAUUUAGUAUAGGUAGAGGGUAGAGUUUGAGGUGAGAAAUCCUAAGAUAUAAAGAUAGGCAGAUAAGUUUUGACCCUUCCAGAUUUGAUAUUCAAAUGUGGUCCUAGAACAAGCAGCAUCAGCAUCACCUGGAAGGUCAGCAAGUGAGAAACUUAAGGCACAUCAUUUAAGGAGACACGCCCUCUUAGAUUCAUGCAAGCAUAGGAUUGGCACUAGUACUGCCCUGACAGUGAGUAUCUCUUUAAAUUUUUCAUCUGGGGAUGUCUCACUUAGCUUACCCUAGUCCUGGGCCUGCACCCCAGGCCCAAUGAAUCAGAAGCUAUAUUUUAACAAGAUGCCCAAGUGAUGUGCAUGCACAUUACAUUUGGCAGGAACUGCUCUCAAGAGUUUGUAAACCAUGCUUGAGUUUACAGAUUGUCCUGGGAACAAUGGCUAUUAUGUUUCAGGAUUUAAGCAGGUGGAGGUUCCUGUUUCAUUUAUAAAGGUUUAUCUGUGGCAGUGUGGAUAGCAUGCUAGAGCAGGCCAUGUCAGGAGUUAGAGAAGCGGAUUAGGAGGCUGUAAUACUGAUCCAGGACUGAAGGGGAAGUCAGUUUGUGGGGUGUUUGACCACAUUUAGUGAGUGGUUGAAGUGUGACGUAACAAUGAAGGAAAAAUCAAGAACACCCGGUUCAUGGCUACAGUAACAAGUGGUUGGGAGUACCACUCACUGAGGUAGGGAAAAAGAAAAUAAGACAGGAAAGGAGAGAAGGUGAUGAGUUAACAUCUGGAAAUGUUAAAUUUGAUAAAUUUUAGAUUAUCCAGCAUGAUGUAUGGGUGUCCAGCUCAUGAAGAGAGAUGAGACACAAGUAUGGAUCUCAAACCUGUCACCCCUAAAUGGAAAUUAAGGCUGUUGAAAGAGAGAAAAUGUUUAGAGAGAAUCUAGAGAAUAAGAGAGGUUAAAGAUGUUUUAGAAUGUGAAAUACAAACCAUUAGGUAAUAACUAAAUAAUUAUUUUCAUUUUGGAAACUAUUUUCACACCCAAUAUAUCAUUUGAACAACAUAAGCUUUUGGGGGAAUAGCCAAGGCAUUAUUAUUAUUCUCAUUUCACAGAUUCUAGGGCUUGUAAUUUUUAGGUUGUUUUGGCUAGCAAAUUAUCCAGUUGAAUACACCUAGAGCAG